UUCCUACGGGGGGCUGCAGUGGGGAAUUUUGGACAAUGGGGGCAACCCUGAUCCAGCCAUUCCGCGUGAGUGAAGAAGGCCUUCGGGUUGUAAAGCUCUUUCGGCAGGAACGAAACGGUGAGCUCUAACAUAGCUUGCUAAUGACGGUACCUGAAGAAGAAGCACCGGCUAACUACGUGCCAGCAGCCGCGGUAAUACGUAGGGUGCGAGCGUUAAUCGGAAUUACUGGGCGUAAAGCGUGCGCAGGCGGUUGUGUAAGACAGGUUUGAAAUCCCCGGGCUGAACCUGGGAACUGCGCUUGUGACUGGACGGCUAGAGUAUGGCAGAGGGGGGUGGAAUUCCACGUGUAGCAGUGAAAUGCGUAGAGAUGUGGAGGAACACCGAUGGCGAAGGCAGCCCCCUGGGCCAAUACUGACGCUCAUGCACGAAAGCGUGGGGAGCAAACAGGAUUAGAUACCCCUGUAGUCC
rnacentral:rRNA from 1 species